GUGCAAAGCAGCUUUCUACUUCACCAGUGAUCUCAACCACAGCCCAGCACCACUAUCAUAAGUUGGGUAACAUAGCUUAGAAUCACGCCGUCCUACAGAAUCUAGUGUAGAAUGCCUUCCAAAGGUUCAUGUGUUAAUGGCUUGAUCUCAGUUUAGUGCUACUGGAAGGUGGUGGGUCCUUCAAGGGGUGAUUUUUGAGUCACACAGGCCAUGGCCUUGAAGAAGGUAAGAGGACACUAGUCUCCUCCUGUCUUUUUUACUUCCUGCUGCCAUGAGGUGAAAAGCACCUUGCCCCCCACCACACACACACACACACACACACACACACACACACACACACACACACAUUCCUAACAUGACAUGCUGCCACAGUUCCAAAAGCAAUGGAUCAACUGACUAUGGACCAAACCCCCUCAGCAUGAAGCAAAGUGAACCUUCCCUUUUUUAAAGUUAAUUACUCUGGGUGUUUGUUACAGAAACAAAAGGCUGACCAUCACUAGCUGGAGGAGGGACUGUGAAGAAGGGCUGGUUGAGUGGCCCAGGGGAUAAAGGCCCUUGCUUGGAAGGCCUGGCAGCCUGAGUUUAAUCCCUGGAACCUGUGUAAAGGUAGACAAGUAAAUGCGUCUUCAGUGAAUAAACCAGAUCAACAGGGUGGGAAGAAGCAAACAAGGAAAGGGGGCAUAAAAGUCACAGCUGGCAAAGCCUAAAGCGGGCUCAGCCAGGGAUCAAGGGCUGUCCCUGUGCCCUGGGCGUCCCCCAUGCAGGGGACAGUGACAGGCGCAUCUGCAGCACUAGGCCAGCCUGGAAGAGAGCAGGGGCCCAGAGGAGGGGUAGAGCAGAGUGUCAGAAAGAGUGGAUAAAGAUGCUGUUUGCUGAACAAUGGAAGAUGAGGAUUUUACACGCAUUUCUAAACUGUAAGGAAAGAACAGAAUGCGUCAGUCAUUGUUGAACUUGGUUUUCUAGACAGGACAGUGAGCUAGACUUUGGUGAGCAGCACUAGAGUCCCCACCCAUUUCUGUAGCUUGAUUCUGGCUCUCUUCCACAUAUAAUUGCAAAACAAAAGCAAGGAAGGCUGGUCCCCAACAGACUGAAAAGUACUCGGGCAGACUUCCCAAGCGGUCAGCCUUUUAAUUUAAACAUGGCACUCGGUAAGUCUGACUCACCUACGUGGCUGAUACUGUUAGGGUCGGCAACCCUUGGGCACAGAGAAAGAGGGGAAGAAGUCAAUCAACGGGAAUGACUUUCCAGCAGAAAGAUGGCUUGUAGAGGAGCCCGCAAAGCACAGGACAA